AUGGACAUGACCAAAAGAAGCUUACUUUAUUUUCAACCCUACAACCAUACUGAGAAUUUAGCCCUGGGGACAUCUUCCGAUAUAAUCUGGCAUAGAAGAGUGGUUAUCACACCUUUAGCAUGGAUAGAAAUGCAAAACAAUAUUUGUAAUAGUCUGUGCUCACGCUGCUAUAAGGACAUACCCAAGACUAGCUCCCCACUCCCAUCUCCAGCCUGGGUGAUAGAGCAAGACCCUGUCUCUAAAAAGAACAAAAAACAAAAGGUAACAUUCCAUUAUUCCAUGAAGUUAAUAAUGAAAUACAUUUCUGGUUUUAUGUUGAUUUUGUAUGUGUUUUCUAAUUCAUUUAAUAUUGAUUUUAAUAUUUGAACCCUUAAUUGGAAACACACUUCCAAGUUUUUAGAGAACAUCUAACUGCCUUGCAGUAUAUUACAAGUUAGGAGUGUUCAGCAUACCUGAAGUACAGAAUACUUACAGAAGAAGAGUGUUUAUUGAAGGUGUAGAGAUAGAACGAGCUGAUAAAGGGCCACUAGUAUCUCGCUACUAAGAGAGGUCAGAACCUGUAAAUAAUCUGGGGGAGGAGGUGGGAAAUGACAGUUUUUAUGUAAAAAAGUGAUUGACAUAGUCACAAGGAGAGUGAAGAGAACAGGUGGGAGUUAGCUGAGGGCAUUCAUGUGCAUGUAGACAUUGAUUUUCAAACUCUGGUCAAAACAUACACCUCCUGUCGGCUAAGAAAUAAAAACCAUAGUCACAAAACUAUCAACCACAGGGAGAUGAGACAGGAGGGACAUAGGAGUGAUGUCAUGAGGGCCUUGUAUAAUUUGCUAAAAAUCUGGAAAUAUUACUGAAGAAAUUUACACAUAAGGAGUGACCUUAGUUAGCAGAUUUGCCCUUUAAAAGAUAUUCCUAGUGGAAAUUUUUUAAAAAUGUGUAUUAGGAUGCACGAAAAAAGGCAAGGACAAAAUGUACACAGCUUCUGUGGUAAUACAAGUAAUAAUUACUGAUGGCCUGAACCUGAGGAUGUCAGGGUAGAGAAGUGACAAAUUAAAAAGACCCAAACGAGUACAGAGACUAGGACCUGAUGUCCAAGAUUGAUGGGGGAGCGGGCUAGGGGAGGGAACAGAGGAUAGUUUGACCAAUGGAGUACACAGUGAUGCUUUGCAUUGUGGUAGAAUGUGUAGAGAGCAGCAAGAUUUGAGAAGAUACUAAGUUCGUUUUGGACAUGUGUUUGAGAAACCAUUUAGGCAUUCAUUUGGAGAGAUUCAGUAGAGAGCUGUAGUUUUGAAUCUGGACUCCAAAAGAGAAGGUACAGACUGUAAAUAGGGACUAGAAGCCACAUUUAGGUAGUGGAUGGAACCAUGAAACUUGAUGAGAGAGAAUGUGUAUUGAGAGAGUGUGUGCAAAUUGAGAAAAUGAAAGUAGCCAGUGUUUCUGGACAGCACAGUUCAACCAUAAUAAAGAGCUGUGUGGAAGAAUAGGAAUCUUUUAAAAAGAAUAAGUAAGAAUGGCCAAAGAGGAAGAAAUAAAAGCAGAAGUGCUUGUAGUUAUGGACGUCUCAAGGAGGGAAUGAUCUAUAGUAUCAAAUGAAACAAGGAAGGAAGACAUCACAUGGAAUAAAAUAUCAUUGGAUUUUGAACAAAAAAUUAUUUUUGACCCUGGAAAGGGAGUUUCAGGGAAUUUCUGAGGGCAGUGGAAGGAGGGAUUAAUGGGAGGUAAAGAAUUGAGAUGACAAAUGGAAUCUACCGUUUUUUAGAAGAUAAUCAAUGGAGGAAAGAAUAAAGACGUGGCAUUGACUAGAGAGGAAGACUUCCCAGAUCCUUCUUUCAUGAGCUCUAGUGGUACCUGAGCACAGCAACAUUUUAACACUUAACCAUCUUGCCCUGCAAUUGAUGACUUAGCUGGUUUCCUCUGAGGGAAAGAUUAUUGAAGGCAAGGAGUGUAUUUUAUCUGGUUAUGACUCUUAAGCCCAUCUGAUGCUUUGUAAGUGGUCACUAAGUAAGUCAUGAAUGAGGAGGAUGUGGAACUGAGGGAUAACUUUUCAACAACUGAAAGGAAAUAAUCAAUAGAGAGAAAGAGGCUUAAGAGAAAGUUAAGAAGAAGUAACUGACAGAGCAGGGAUCCUUAUUUGCCUGUAGGUUGGGGUCCAAAGCAUAGUUGGAAGCUUUUAUUUUUGCACAAAGAAAAGACUUUUUUUCCCCUCUGAAAUGGAAAUGAGGUGAGGAUAGAUUCAUAUGUGAAUCAAAUGUGUAGAUGUGGGGUCAGGAAGCUGAGGAAAUUCAUUCUGAGACCCUUGCUUUCUUUAGUGAUGUGGAAGCCAUUAAUUGGGUAGCUAAUAAAUGCCAGGCAUAAACAUUUCCAAAUAUUGAUUCAUUUGUGAAUCUGUAUUUAUAAAAGAGAUCUGUAUUUAGCAUUUUUUUAUAAUGUUUGUCAGAUUUUGCUGUCAGAAUUAUCCUUGAUUCAUGUAAUAGAUUUGAUUGCUUUCCAUGUUUUUUUUCCCCUAUGUUCUGGAACAAAUUAUGUAGAACUGAAUUUACUAGUUCCUUUAGAAUUUCAAACAAUUCACUAAUAGAACAAUCCCUGGAGAAUUUGGAGUAAUUUUUUGAAAAGUUUUCCAUUAUGCCAGUGGUUCUUAUUCAAUUCAGGUUAUACAUUUUUUUUUUUUUUUUGAGACGGAGUCUCGCUCUGUUGCCCGGGCUGGAGUGCAGUGGCGUGAUCUCGGCUCACUGCAAGCUCCGCCUCCUGGGUUCACGCCAUUCUCCUGCCUCAGCCUCCCGAGUAGCUGGGACUACAGGCGUCCACCACCACGCCCGGCUAAUUUUUGUAUUUUUAGUAGAGACGGGGUUUCACCGUGGUCUCGAUCUCCCGACCUCAUUAUAAAUAUUUAUUGCUAGUUUAUGUAUUUCAUGAACAUCUUCCUUUUCACAGUUUUACAUAUUUAUUAGCAUUACAUUGUCUUGCAUUGUAAUCUCUUAUACAUUUUAUUCUAUUUGCUGUCUCUACCCUUUCUCUUUCUAAUUCUAUUUAUUUGUCUUCUUUUCCUUAAUCAGAUUUUUAAGAAACCUUUCUAAUUUAAUUUUAUUGC
ensembl:lincRNA